CACUCCUACGGGAGGCAGCAGUGGGGAAUAUUGCACAAUGGGCGCAAGCCUGAUGCAGCCAUGCCGCGUGUAUGAAGAAGGCCUUCGGGUUGUAAAGUACUUUCAGCAGUGAGGAAGGUGGAUAUGUUAAUAGCAUAUUCAUUUGACGUUAGCUGCAGAAGAAGCACCGGCUAACUCCGUGCCAGCAGCCGCGGUAAUACGGAGGGUGCGAGCGUUAAUCGGAAUUACUGGGCGUAAAGCGCAUGCAGGUGGUUUGUUAAGUCAGAUGUGAAAGCCCGGGGCUCAACCUCGGAAUUGCAUUUGAAACUGGCAAACUAGAGUACUGUAGAGGGGGUAGAAUUUCAGGUGUAGCGGUGAAAUGCGUAGAGAUCUGAAGGAAUACCGGUGGCGAAGGCGGCCCCCUGGACAGAUACUGACACUCAGAUGCGAAAGCGUGGGGAGCAAACAGGAUUAGAUACCCUGGUAG
rnacentral:rRNA from 1 species